GACCUAGUUGGGCGCGACCUGAUGUGGGAGUGGCCACCAGGGCGGGAGAGGAGUGAGUAGCAAAUAAAAACUGACGCGCAUGAAUGGAUUAAUGGCUCUUCCUAUCAUUGCGAAGCAGAAUUCGCCAAGCGUUGGAUUGUUCAGCCACUAAUAGGGAACGUGAGCUGGGUUUAGACCGUCGUGAGACAGGUUAGUUUUACCCUACUGUUGACUAAUUGUUGCAAUAGUAAUCUUGCUUAGUACGAGAGGAACAGCAGGUUCAGACAUUUGGUUCAUGGACUUGACCGAUCGGUCAAUGGUCCGAAGCUAACAUCUGGGGGAUUAUGACUGAACGCCUCUAAGUCAGAAUCCCACCUAGUCAAGGCAGCAAUAACUCUCUCACCUCAAGGACCCACUGCCUGAGUGGGCGCCAGCAUAGUGGCAGUGAAAAGACCAGCUCGAGAGUUCGUGGUCGGGUUCCUACGACGAAUGAAAGGUGGUCUUCGUGUGCU
rnacentral:ncRNA from 1 species